rnacentral:rRNA from 1 species
UACGAAGGGGGCUAGCGUUGUUCGGAAUUACUGGGCGUAAAGGGCGCGUAGGCGGUCCUGAUCGUCGGAUGUGAAAGGCCUGGGCUCAACCUGGGAAUGGCAUCCGAUACGGCGGGACUGGAGUGUGGGAGAGGUUGGUGGAAUUCCCAGUGUAGAGGUGAAAUUCGUAGAUAUUGGGAAGAACACCGGUGGCGAAGGCGGCCAACUGGACCACAACUGACGCUGAGGCACGAAAGCGUGGGGAGCAAACAGG